AAUCAACGCUGGCGGCGUGCCUCAGACAUGCAAGUCGAACGCGAAAGUCCCCUUCGGGGGACAAGUAGAGUGGCGCACGGGUGAGUAACACGUAGGUAAUCUACCUUCGGAUGGGGAAUAACAACCGGAAACGGUUGCUAAUACCGCAUAAUGCAGCGGCACCUAAUGGUGACAGUUGUUAAAGCGGGGGAUCGAAAGACCUCGCGUCUGAAGAGGAGCCUGCGGCGGAUUAGCUAGNGGUAGGGUAAUGGCUUACCAAGGCGACGAUCCGUAGCCGGCCUGAGAGGGCGGUCGGCCACACUGACACCGACAUAC
rnacentral:rRNA from 1 species